GUACCGUGUUGUUUAGUUGGUAGGUCGUGAUGCUUACAGUCCAAGGGUUGUGGGUUCGAUUCCCACAGGGGACA